rnacentral:rRNA from 1 species
CCCCUAGAUGUUCUGGGCCGCACGCGCGCUACACUGAACAGUUCAACAAGUCUUAACCUUGGCCGAUAGGUCUGGGUAAUCUUUGAACGCUGUUCGUGAUUGGGAUAGACCUUUGCAAUUAUGGGUCUUCAACGAGGAAUUCCUAGUAAACGCAAGUCAUCAGCUUGCAUUGAUUACGUCCCUGCCCUUUGUACACACCGCCCGUCGCACCUACCGAUUGAAUGGUCCGGUGAAAUCUCGGGACGGCGGCUUGGUCGCUUGCGUCCGACUGCUGAAACUUGAUAAACCAUAUCAUUUAGAGGAAGGUGAAGUCGUAACA